UGUGAGCUCGAUGAGUAGGGCGGGACACGUGGUAUCCUGUCUGAAUAUGGGGGGACCAUCCUCCAAGGCUAAAUACUCCUGACUGACCGAUAGUGAACCAGUACCGUGAGGGAAAGGCGAAAAGAACCCCGGCGAGGGGAGUGAAAAAGAACCUGAAACCGUGUACGUACAAGCAGUGGGAGCACGCUUAGGCGUGUGACUGCGUACCUUUUGUAUAAUGGGUCAGCGACUUAUAUUCUGUAGCAAGGUUAACCGAAUAGGGGAGCCGAAGGGAAACCGAGUCUUAACUGGGCGUUAAGUUGCAGGGUAUAGACCCGAAACCCGGUGAUCUAGCCAUGGGCAGGUUGAAGGUUGGGUAACACUAACUGGAGGACCGAACCGACUAAUGUUGAAAAAUUAGCGGAUGACUUGUGGCUGGGGGUGAAAGGCCAAUCAAACCGGGAGAUAGCUGGUUCUCCCCGAAAGCUAUUUAGGUAGCGCCUCGUGAAUUCAUCUCCGGGGGUAGAGCACUGUUUCGGCAAGGGGGUCAUCCCGACUUACCAACCCGAUGCAAACUGCGAAUACCGGAGAAUGUUAUCACGGGAGACACACGGCGGGUGCUAACGUCCGUCGUGAAGAGGGAAACAACCCAGACCGCCAGCUAAGGUCCCAAAGUCAUGGUUAAGUGGGAAACGAUGUGGGAAGGCCCAGACAGCCAGGAUGUUGGCUUAGAAGCAGCCAUCAUUUAAAGAAAGCGUAAUAGCUCACUGGUCGAGUCGGCCUGCGCGGAAGAUGUAACGGGGCUAAACCAUGCACCGAAGCUGCGGCAGCGACGCUUAUGCGUUGUUGGGUAGGGGAGCGUUCUGUAAGCCUGCGAAGGUGUGCUGUGAGGCAUGCUGGAGGUAUCAGAAGUGCGAAUGCUGACAUAAGUAACGAUAAAGCGGGUGAAAAGCCCGCUCGCCGGAAGACCAAGGGUUCCUGUCCAACGUUAAUCGGGGCAGGGUGAGUCGACCCCUAAGGCGAGGCCGAAAGGCGUAGUCGAUGGGAAACAGGUUAAUAUUCCUGUACUUGGUGUUACUGCGAAGGGGGGACGGAGAAGGCUAUGUUGGCCGGGCGACGGUUGUCCCGGUUUAAGCGUGUAGGCUGGUUUUCCAGGCAAAUCCGGAAAAUCAAGGCUGAGGCGUGAUGACGAGGCACUACGGUGCUGAAGCAACAAAUGCCCUGCUUCCAGGAAAAGCCUCUAAGCAUCAGGUAACAUCAAAUCGUACCCCAAACCGACACAGGUGGUCAGGUAGAGAAUACCAAGGCGCUUGAGAGAACUCGGGUGAAGGAACUAGGCAAAAUGGUGCCGUAACUUCGGGAGAAGGCACGCUGAUAUGUAGGUGAAGUCCCUCGCGGAUGGAGCUGAAAUCAGUCGAAGAUACCAGCUGGCUGCAACUGUUUAUUAAAAACACAGCACUGUGCAAACACGAAAGUGGACGUAUACGGUGUGACGCCUGCCCGGUGCCGGAAGGUUAAUUGAUGGGGUCAGCGCAAGCGAAGCUCUUGAUCGAAGCCCCGGUAAACGGCGGCCGUAACUAUAACGGUCCUAAGGUAGCGAAAUUCCUUGUCGGGUAAGUUCCGACCUGCACGAAUGGCGUAAUGAUGGCCAGGCUGUCUCCACCCGAGACUCAGUGAAAUUGAACUCGCUGUGAAGAUGCAGUGUACCCGCGGCAAGACGGAAAGACCCCGUGAACCUUUACUAUAGCUUGACACUGAACAUUGAGCCUUGAUGUGUAGGAUAGGUGGGAGGCUUUGAAGUGUGGACGCCAGUCUGCAUGGAGCCGACCUUGAAAUACCACCCUUUAAUGUUUGAUGUUCUAACGUUGACCCGUAAUCCGGGUUGCGGACAGUGUCUGGUGGGUAGUUUGACUGGGGCGGUCUCCUCCUAAAGAGUAACGGAGGAGCACGAAGGUUGGCUAAUCCUGGUCGGACAUCAGGAGGUUAGUGCAAUGGCAUAAGCCAGCUUGACUGCGAGCGUGACGGCGCGAGCAGGUGCGAAAGCAGGUCAUAGUGAUCCGGUGGUUCUGAAUGGAAGGGCCAUCGCUCAACGGAUAAAAGGUACUCCGGGGAUAACAGGCUGAUACCGCCCAAGAGUUCAUAUCGACGGCGGUGUUUGGCACCUCGAUGUCGGCUCAUCACAUCCUGGGGCUGAAGUAGGUCCCAAGGGUAUGGCUGUUCGCCAUUUAAAGUGGUACGCGAGCUGGGUUUAGAACGUCGUGAGACAGUUCGGUCCCUAUCUGCCGUGGGCGCUGGAGAACUGAGGGGGGCUGCUCCUAGUACGAGAGGACCGGAGUGGACGCAUCACUGGUGUUCGGGUUGUCAUGCCAAUGGCACUGCCCGGUAGCUAAAUGCGGAAGAGAUAAGUGCUGAAAGCAUCUAAGCACGAAACUUGCCCCGAGAUGAGUUCUCCCUGACUCCUUGAGAGUCCUGAAGGAACGUUGAAGACGACGACGUUGAUAGGCCGGGUGUGUAAGCGCAGCGAUGCGUUGAGCUAACCGGUACUAAUGAACCGUGAGGCUUAACCUU
rnacentral:rRNA from 1 species